CGGGUGGUGCAGCCCAGCCCAGCGGGUCAGUUGCUGAUUUACCUUUUCCUUCUGUAGCGAUACGCCCUAUGGGGCAGAGUGUGCCGACACCAUCGGGCCGCGGUAGAGGUCGUGACGGAGCUUCCGGUUCUAGCGGUCCUUUGAACCGCUUAUAUGCUUUGGCUAGCCGGUAGGACCCAGAGGCGUCACCAGAUGUGUUUACAGAUUCUGGGUGAAACGGGAAUCGAGUUUAAGCGAGCAUAAGACGCGCGCAAGGUACAGACGCUCAUUGUGGUGAUCCGCCAGCCUAGGGUACACAGUCUGCUGUUUGGAGUGCUCCUUUGAUCCGGAGCCCAUACUUUUGGUACAGAACUCUCUGUUGUAUAUGGUUUCGUGUUUAUGGUU